GAUGAAGAACGCAGCGAAAUGCGAUACUUGGUGUGAAUUGCAGAAUCCCGCGAAUCAUCGAGUUUUUGAACGCAAGUUGCGCCCGAAGCCAUUCGGCCGAGGGCACGUCUGCCUGGGUGUCACGCAUCGUUGCCCCCCCAAACUCCGGUUCGGGCGGGGCGGAAGUUGGCCUCCCGUGCGUGCCUGCGCGCGCGGUUAGCCCAAAAGCGAGUCCUCGGCGACGAGCGCCACGACAAUCGGUGGUUUUUUUACCCUCGUUCCUCGUCGUGCGUGUCCCGUCGCCCGAACGCGCUCUUGUGACCCUCACGCGUCGCCUCGGCGGCGCUCCCAACGCGACCCCAGGUCAGGCGGGACUACCCGCUGAGUUUAAGCAUAUCAAUAAGCGGAGG
rnacentral:misc_RNA from 1 species